rnacentral:misc_RNA from 1 species
GUAAUGCACUAAUAAAAAAAAGACAAAUCAUCGUUGUUAUAAUAUAUAACGUAAUUCAUUUGUUAUCAAACAUCCGAAAAUCCAAGGACUGACCGGAACCCGAAACCACUUUCAUAUUCUUUGAAACAGAUAAUCCCUCAUUAAUUAGUAAUUACUUUUAAUUAAUCCACAUCGACCGUACUUUAAUGAUCAAACGGCUUUUAUUCCUCGCCUAAUUACACCUCACCAGAAAACGCAUCGUUUUUGGGUGGAGAUAGAUCAAUCUCUAUUAAAUUAUCUUCUUCAACCUGAAAAUCAAAACAUAAACCCGAACCCGAAAACUUAUUGUCAUCGCUAUCAAGAGAUAUCUCUAUCAACAGGCCUGCUCUAUCUUCGUCUUCCCAUCUAAAGCAAACGCUCUCCGGCGAAUCCCAUUCUCCGUUCACCGAAUAACCGCCGUCAGAAGAGGUGUCCGAGUCCGUUUCUGGGUAGUACAUUGACAAAGAUGGGCACCUCUGCAAAGCUGCACUCCGGGUAUGAUCAUCAGAAUCCUGGUGCUUCUCAUUAUCAUCCUCUCCUUCGUACGCUUCAAAUAUGACCUCCAAUGGAGCUCUCACGUCCCAUUCAACAAACGACUCUUCAAAAUCAGGUUUUGGAUUCGGGUAAGGACCUGUUUCAUCUUGGAAUGAAACCCAUUUGUCCACUUUGGCCAAAAAACCAAACUUUUCUGCUUCAACGAAAUUUCCGUCCCCGUUUUCCUUUCUUUCAAUAUUCUCUUCGUUCUCAUUUUUCUCUGGGUUUCGACUCUGGAUGGAGCCUAGACGGAGGAGAAAGAGUAUGAGAAGAGCAGUGACGAUCAAAACUGGGGAAAGAAAGAUUUUGAGAGCUUGAGGGAAGUAGAGGAGAAUUAGAGUGUAGAGAGUGAUAACGCAAGAGAAAAUAGGAUUAGAGGAGGAAAUGUAACUCAUGAUCUCGACGCGAAUUAAAGCUGAAACAGAGUCAAUUCCCAGGGGAUUUCAUUUCCUUCCAUAAAGAAAACAAACAAGAAAUGAGACUGGAACGCCAAGUAAAGAUUUAUUUAACAAGAAAUUCAAAACCCACUAAAGGCCAAGAGAUUUAUAGCAACAUGUAAGAGAUUAGAGAAAGCAAAAGUAGAGAGAGAGUUAGAGAAAUUGCUUGUGGCCCUGUGGGGUUUUACAGAACUUUUUUCUCGACAGAGUGCGUAAGAUAGAGGCAUGGAAUAUGAAUAAGGAAGAGCGGGUGAUGUGGG